GCUGAGGUCCUCUUCUAGGAUUGGCUGUCCACUCAUAACUAUAAGAUAAUUAAAACGGGGGGGGCAGGGUUAAAAAAACUUUUUAUCAGCCAUAGGUUAAUUCAAGUGUUUAAUAGAUGCUUCACUAUUAAACCUCCCCCCCCCCCAAUAUUGAAGAAUCUCAAACCAGCAACCCCAAGACAGACUUUGGAGGUUUUCAAAGUGGGGCACCUCGAUUUCUUGAAUCUGUGGUGUGGCGAGUACCCGUGUUCCGCUGGUUUAACUAGCCUGUUUGCACCAUUAUCGGCUAAGGUACAAGCCUUAAGGGGGCUGAAGCUUCGUGUAUCUUAGAAGCCCGAAUGCAGAGACAAGAGCAUCAGAAAGGCAAUCUGGAGGUAGCUGGAGAGAGGGGACAAAUGGGUUCUAUGCAUCUUGUGUUAUUCAAGUCAAGAUGAUGUCAGUAAUCAAAUUACAGAAUCUAAUCAAGCAGGUCAGAUCCUAUUUAUUCCAAAGACAGAGUUGGAGACCAGCCAUCGUUAGUGUUGCCUGAGACGCCAAGCAAUCCCCUGAGUCCUUACAGUCGAUUUCCUUCUUUUAUUCUAUUUUGGAUCUAUGUUCCCAUGGUGCACUGAUCUGGUCGGAGAGAGCGCUUGCUGCCGAGGUUGCUGGUCCCUGGAGCCUACAUGACGCAAAGAAAACUGAUUCCAGAAAGGUUGUCCUCAGAUGGUCGCAUGUUCGCUGUGGCAUUCGCUGCAGGCACCUAUCCAGCCGAGCACACA